UUAGGGGUCGGGAAGGCAGCUGCAGAGCACUUGGCGCUCCGAGGGGACACGUAGGGGGCAUUUUGGGGGCAAGUAGGGGACGGGGGGGCGGGAGGACUUAGGGAUCCUGAGGCGCACUUGAGGGUCAGGAGAGAGAAAGAGAGAGAAACUGGGGGCACUUAUGGGGCCCUGGGGAGCACUUACGGUUCAGGGAAGCACUUGGGGAGCGGCUGGGACCGUCCUUAGGGAACACUCCCGGCGCCGACUGCGCUCUCAGGGGCCGCGGGGCAUGACGGGACCCGCAGUCCCGGCUCUGCAGCCGUUCUACGGAGGCCCCGCGGCAUGCCGGGAGUUGUAGUCCAGGCAGUGAACGAGCCGGCGCGGAACAGGCGGCCAAUGGCGGCCGGGAGAGGGCCGGAGGGGCUUCUGGGGGCUCGGGGAAAGUUUCUGACCCCCACCCCCAUGACCCCCCACAGCGCACUCAGGGGCGGGGGGACACCAGAAGCCCCCGGCGGCCGUGGAGGUGAAGAAAACAGGGUGGCGCUCCCUGGUGCAGAGAUGCACAGCAGCGGCUGCUGAUUUGCCAGGAGGCCUCGUGGGAGUCACGUGACUGGAUGGCACACCAUGGGAUCUGGUGGCUUCUCCUUCCCUUCUGUGGUAUGCAAAACCCCUGUUUUCACCACAAAAUCCCCAGAUUUCCUGGAUUUUCACAGAAUCACAGAAUUAGUCGGUUGGAAGAGAGCUUCAAGAUCAUCAAGUCCAACCCAUGCUCCAACACCUCAACUAAACCAUGGCACUGAGUGCCACAUCCAGUAUUUUUUUAAACACAUCCAGGAAUGACGACUCCACCACCUCCCCAGGCAGGCCAUUCCAGUACUUUAUUACUCUCUCUGUGGAAAACUUCUUCCUAAUAUCCAACUUAUAUUUUCCUUGACACAGCUUGAGACUCUGUCCCCUCGUUCUUUCAGUUGUUGCCCAGAGAAAGAGACCGACCCCCCCCACCUGACUACAACCACCCUUCAGAGAGUUGUAGAGAGCGAUAAGGUCACCCCUGAGUCUCCUUUUCUCCAGGAUAAACAACCCCAGCUCCCUCAGCCGUUCCUCAUAAGGCUGCUAUUCCAAGCCCCUCACCAGCUUUGUUGCCCUCCUCUGGAUGUGCUUAAGCAUCUCAAUGUCCUUCCUAAACUGAGAGGCCAGAACUGGACACAGCACUCGAGGUGCAGCCUCACCAGUGCCCAGCACAGGGCAAGAAUCCCUGCCCUGCUCCUGCUGCCCACACCAUUCCUGAUCCAGGCCAGGAGCCAUUGGCCUUCUUGCCCACCUGCCCACACUGCUGCCUCAUGUCCAGCCUGCUGUCCAGCACUGCCCCACGUCCCUUUCUGCCUGCCCACUGUCCAGCCACUCUGUCCCCAGCCUGGAGCACUGCAGGGGUUGUUGUGGCCAAAAUGCAGGACUUGGCACUUGGCCUUAUUAAACUUCAUCCCAUUGGGCUCUGCCCAUCCAUCCAGUCAUUCCAGGUCUCUCUGCAGAGCCCUCCUCCCUUCCAACAGAUGGACACAUGCUCCCAGUGUAGUGUCAGCUGUGAAUUUACUCAUGAUUGACUCAAUCCCCUCAUCCAUGUCAUCAGUGAAGAUAUUGAAUAAAACCAGCCCCAGCACAGACCCCUGAGGAACACCACUGGUGUCUGACCACCAGCUGGAUGCAGAACCUUCACCACCACUCUCUGGGCCCGGCCAUGCAGCCAGUUCCUAACCCAGCACAGAGUGCUCCUGUCCAAGCUGUGGGCUGCCAGCUUUUCCAGGAGUGUGCAGAGGGAGACAGUGUGCAAGGCCUUGCUGAACUCAAAUAGACAACAUCCACAGCUUUUCCUACAUCCACCAGGUGGGUCACUUGGUCAUAAAAGGAGAUCAGGUUUGUCAGACAUGACCUACUCCUCCUAAACCCGUGCUGUCUGGGCCUGAUACCCUGGCCAUCCUGUAAGUGCUGCAUGAUAAUACUCAAUGUGAAAAAGGCAUAUUGUGUGUGUGGCUCUACACAGAUAUUUACUAUAUGUAAUAUGCUAGGUAGAAAAGUUAUGCAAUAUUAACAUUUAAAUAAUAUAGUAAAUGUAGUUUUAACAUUAAGUCUUAGUAGAAAAUUUGUGUGUAAGAUAUUUUCUUUAGCUCAAAAGAAAGAAAAGAUGACCAGGAGGUUUUUAGUACAGAGAUAACAGUUACAAGAAAUCCUCUAGUGGAGAAGAAUUUAUGGCUCCUUAUCAACAGAAGUAACCUCUUCAAAGACUUAAACCAGACUUGCAGACGCCAGGGAAAGUAUGCAUAGUAAUGAGGAGGUUGCAGAAAAGACCGAAAUUUCUCUCUAAGUUGCCCUUCUCCUUCGCAGCCUUUGUCUGGGAGGGAGGGGGGACGGUAGGCCCGGGCUACCUUCUUUGCUCUUAUUGUCUCAUUAUUUGUCCUGUCUCUGAAAACUUUUUGAACUUUUAUUAUUGUAUUAAUUUUUUUUGUAACCAAUUUUUAUUCUUUAUUAAAUUUUCAUAAAUUUCAAAAGCGAGUGAUUGGCGUUUAUCACACUCAAUAUAAACUGCUCCAUAACCUUACCAGGGACUGAGUACUUAUUUCCAAACUUUUUAGCACAUAAAAUGAAAUCCUGAAUCCCUGGGCUUGGUAUUGCCCAAAAAUUCCCCUCUUCCUUCAUUUUGCAUUUACUCCAACAACUUCUCAGCUGUAGAGUUAAUACUUUUAACAAAAAAACCCAUUUUAAAUAUUUUUUAAUGCAAAGUCUUUUAGAUUUUUUUCCCCCUCAGGAACACCACAUUAAUUUUCAUGGAAAAUCCCCUUUUUCCUCACUUCCUGUAGAAAAAAAAAAGUGCACUUUGUCCUGGUAAUUUCAGUUUACUUUUCGAUUGUGGGUAUUUUGGGGUUUUUUUGAGCUAAAAUUCUGAUGAUCAGUUUUAGUGUUUCUCCAGAAAAAACUCAAAGAUCUAUAUGCUGGAUUUGUAAUUUUUCUGGGGAAAAAAAUCUAUUUUUAAGAGGUUUUUUAAAUGAAAAAAGUAUUUUUAUUUUCUCUUUUUUAAUAAAAGCAGUUGGUUCCUAAAGAUCCCCCCUCCUUUUUAUUCCUCAUUUUCCUGUUUUUCUUGUAAUUUUCAUUAAAACUUCUUUUCAACCCAAUUUUAGGUAGUGUUUUAAAUAAAAAAACAUUUAUUCCCCUAAUUUUUUUUCUUUUUUUAAUAUUUUUUAAAAAUUUUAUUCACUAAGGGAAAAAAGCCCUCUUGAAGUGUUUUAGAUUUAAGCAUUUUUAAAGAAAAAACCCUCACUCUCUGUUCUAAUUUUUAAAAUUCCAAUUGCUGAUUUCCCUGUUGAUUUUUCUUCAAAAUCCCCCCUUUUUAAAAAAUAACCCGUUUUAAUGCAUUAUUUCAGAAAGCCUGCUUUAAUCCUAUUUUUUAUUCACAGUCAAACCUCUUUAUUCAAAAUCUUUCUCCCAAAACACUCAAAUUCCAUUUUUUCAAAAAAACAUAGCAGAAUUAUCUUUUCUUACCCAACAUCCCCAAUUACCUUUUUUUU